rnacentral:lncRNA from 1 species
UUUAAAAUUUAAAAGUUAAAAUUUUAAAUUUAAAAUUAUAAAUGCAAAAUCUAAAAAUUUAAAAUUUAAAUAUAAUAAGAUGGGUAAUAUCAUUAUUUUUAAUUUAUAACUAUCCACUAUUCCUCUUAUUCCAUCUUAUCUAUGCAGACACUAUUUUUCUUAUUCUCGAAAACAACUAAAUUUUCAUCGAAAUACAAAAUUGGUCUAACCGACCGUCCCUAGAGCAAAUGGCAAAGGGCUUAGUGGUUGAUACCCGAGACCCAAAUUUGAAUCCUAGUUGAUUCACAUUUCUAGCUAAGUUUAUUUCUAAAUAAAAUAAACGAAGCGGGUAGCGUGCUAUCUAUCUCUCAAUAAAAAAAAAACAAAAAAACAAAAAAAACACACACACACACACACAAAAUUAGUCUAGUUCUCGCUUAUAUCUAAAGUUGUACCUAUCCCUGAUAUAAGCUAGUUCUUCCUUAUACUUGAACCAAAGGAAGCCCUAAAAGAUCACGGAGUCAAAUUAGACCAUAAUCCACUAAAACAACCCAAAAUUCAACAGAACUAAAACCCAAGCAACUCUAUAUGCAGCGCCCACCGAGAAUUUGCAUAUGAAUUACUUGCGACAAAGAAUAACUUGAUUACCGACCGUGCCUAGAGCAAGUGGUAAAGAACUUGGUGGUUUAUACUUGAGACCCAAGUUUGAAUCCUAAUUGAUUCACAUUUCUAGCUAAGUUUAUUUCUAAAUAAAAUAAACGAAACAAGUAACGUGCUAUCUAUCUCUCUAAAAAAAAAAAAGAAAAAGAAAAAGAAUAACUUGAUUAUUAUUAAAUUAUCGCUCCUCCACAU